UACGUAGGGCGCAAGCGUUGUCCGGAAUUAUUGGGCGUAAAGAGCUCGUAGGCGGUUCGUCGCGUCGGCUGUGAAAUCCCGAGGCUCAACCUCGGGUCUGCAGUCGAUACGGGCGGACUGGAGUACUGCAGGGGAGACUGGAAUUCCUGGUGUAGCGGUGAAAUGCGCAGAUAUCAGGAGGAACACCGGUGGCGAAGGCGGGUCUCUGGGCAGUUACUGACGCUGAGGAGCGAAAGCGUGGGGAGCGAACAGG
rnacentral:rRNA from 1 species